UACGAAGGGGGCUAGCGUUGUUCGGAUUUACUGGGCGUAAAGCGCACGUAGGCGGAUUGUUAAGUCGGGGGUGAAAUCCUGGAGCUCAACUCCAGAAUUGCCUUCGAUACUGGCUUUCUAGAGGCUGGAAGAGGUUAGUGGAAUUCCCAGUGUAGAGGUGAAAUUCGUAGAUAUUGGGAAGAACACCAGUGGCGAAGGCGGCUAACUGGUCCAGAUCUGACGCUGAGGUGCGAAAGCGUGGGGGAGCAAACAGG
rnacentral:rRNA from 1 species